UUUAUCGACGGUCCGCGUAUAAUUAUACGAAAUGAUCGGCAAAAAGGAGGAGCGAUAACGAUUAUUUACGCCGUCUGUGCCGUUAUAUAGCAGACAAUAUAAUAUAUCUAUGACCGGCGCUACGGCCGCGAAUAAAGAUAUAUAUACGUACAAUAUGUGUGCGCUCCUUAAAUUAUUAUCGAACGAUUGUAAGACGUGUGGGCUCGUGUGUGAGCAUACGUAUAAUACGAACGGCCGUACGUCUAAUAUAUGGUUUUAAAAAGGAGCCGUUUUCGAAAAAGUUCCGAUCUUUGCGAUUCGCGUGUGUCUGGCGGAGGUUGUUUCGUAUAUUAUAUUCUUUUUUUUUUCUUUUUUUUUUUUUUGGCACCGGCAGUGGCGGGACUGUCCGCUUAACAAAAACAAAAACAACAACAACAACAACAAAAACGUCAACAACAAUGACGACGAAGAGCGAAGCACGUUUUAUACUCAUUGCACGAACACGCGAACUAUACACACGACGGCCAUUGGUUUUACCGGACGGUGCAGUAACGGACAACGCACUUCAUUACAGGUAGACAGUCGAGACAGUCACUCAGGGACCUCGAAAUGAAGCGCCUCUCGUCUGAUCUGUAUAAUCGGCCAGCGGCGCAGCCUUCCUAGAACACGUCAGCCGUAGGGACCGUCAGGACGUCUUAUUAUUAUUGCGUCGUCGCACACCAUGGUCGCGGGGCAUCACUUUUCAGAGGCGGUGGCUCUCAUUCCACAAGUACAGCAGCCAAGUUACUGACGUGGACCAUCACAUGGCCAAAUACGAUAAGCGAUCGGCCAUGGUGUCAGUUCCACUGCAGCGGGCCGAUUAUUUGUAUUUUCGAGUAGGAACCCUGAGACAUUCCGGAGAAGUGGUUUUGGUGGUUACUAUUUUUACCCUUAAUUGUUAAGUAAGCUAAUUUAUUUUUUGAAUAUUUCAAUAUAUUAAACUUGAAUGGAAAUUCAAACGAGUUGGUUUUGAAAAUGUAUGUAAUAAAUAAAAUCUAUUAUCAUUUUAAAACUUUGUAAAAAUGGUCCGAUUAUAUCAAGCAUAUUUAUACACUAAAUAAUGGUUUAAACUUAUUAUUAUGACUA